rnacentral:tRNA from 1 species
GAGAGUAUAGCUCAGUGGUAGAGUGUCUGCCUAACAUGCAUGAAGUUGUGGGUUCAAUCCCCAGUACCUCCA